GGAGGAGGCAGUGGUGGAGGAGGAGGAGGAGGAGGAGGAGGAGGACAGCAGAGAGCCGGAGACUGGAAGUGUUCGAACCCAAACUGUGGAAACCUGAACUUCUCGUGGCGUAACGAGUGUAACCAGUGCAAGGCUCCUAAACCUGAGGACGCUGGUGGGAUGUCCCCAAUGGAAAGAGGUGGCUAUGGAGGCGAGCGCCGAGGGGGGUUUGAACGAGGCGGCUUCAGGGGCCGAGGCGGCGACCGUGGGGGCUUCAGAGGCGGCCGAGGUGGUGACCGGGGAGGAUACGGCUCUGGCAAAAUGGAUGGAAGGGGUGACCGCAGACAGGAGCGGCGAGGUCGUCCCUACUAAACCACCUCCUCCCACCUCAGUGCAAAGAGCAGUAUGUGUACCUCUGUCCACACUGGGCCCAGCCCCACCUUUCACCUUUUACAUAACUCUGUUAGCUCUCACUUUGAUCCUCUUGAUUCACUGUGUAGAAAAAUGUGACUAUCAUUGUUCUUUAUGUUUGCUCUUUUUAAUGUGACUCACUUUAUUAACAUCUAUAAACACUCUUUAUUCUGCUCAGUGGGGCCUCAUUUAUAAAAGUCUAGUUUAACUUAAUUAUUGUCUAUCUAUCUGUCAAUCUUACUAUAUUAUUAUAUUAUCUAACCACCAGAUUUAAGUGAAAUUUUAUGGAAAGUUCAGCUCUUCAUGUCGUUUUCUGUUUGGAUUCAGUAACUUUUUAAAAGUAUGAGAUGGCUCAACAUUCAUUAUUAUCUCAUGAAUGUCUUUUGUAUCCUGUAACUAUCUUUGUGUUUUGCGUAUUUUGUUGCAGACCAUGUGUAUUAUUUAAAUGAAUGUGGAGUUUAAUGUUGCUCUGGCAGAGGAAUGAGCUGCCAUUCUAGUUCAGAAGUGAAAGAAAAAGAUUAAAAUUUCCACCCAAGCUGUAAACGUCAGAGCUAAUUCAUGUUUCAACUCUGACCUGCUGUACUUAGUGUAGAGCAAACUGUUUUACAGUGUAACAGAUGAUUAUGAGUGACAUUUUAAGUGCUUUUAUCUGUGUUUGCCACUCUGAGGUUUGGCAACCUGGAAAUUCAAAAACCUGUCUGAUUGUUUUCACUCUUAGACUUCUUUGUAAAUGUGUAGCUACCAGUGAGGCCACAUCCUCAGAAAUUAAGUUAGUGAGUAAACUGUUAUUACUGCUAGUAAUGAUGGCCAGGUGGUUUAAAGAAUAUUUAAAGUAAAAUCUUACAAUCAAGAAGAUAUUUGUAAAACCUUUAACUUUCAUUAACUAUUUUGAUAAUCAAUUAAUCAUUUUGAGUCAUUUUUUUAGGGAAAAACAGUCCAAAUUCUUUAAUUCCA